rnacentral:rRNA from 1 species
GAUGAACGCUAGCUACAGGCUUAACACAUGCAAGUCGAGGGGAAACGGCAUCGAAAGCUUGCUUUUGAUGGGCGUCGACCGGCGCACGGGUGAGUAACGCGUAUCCAACCUGCCCAUCACUUGGGAAUAACCUUGCGAAAGUAAGACUAAUGCCCAAUGACAUCCCACGAAGGCAUCCGAAUGGGAUUAAAGAUUUAUCGGUGAUGGAUGGGGAUGCGUCUGAUUAGCUUGUUGGCGGGGUGACGGCCCACCAAGGCAACGAUCAGUAGGGGUUCUGAGAGGAAGGUCCCCCACAUUGGAACUGAGACACGGUCCAAACUCCUACGGGAGGCAGCAGUGAGGAAUAUUGGUCAAUGGGCGGGAGCCUGAACCAGCCAAGUAGCGUGCAGGAUGACGGCCCUAUGGGUUGUAAACUGCUUUUAUAAGGGAAUAAAGUGGGUCACGUGUGACUUUUUGCAUGUACCUUAUGAAUAAGGACCGGCUAAUUCCGUG